CUGCCUAGUAUGGAGGAGGGGAUAAAAAGGUCUGCCUGCAGAGGGGAGGAGCUAAGGGCUGCCUGGUGUGGGGACAGACCCUUCUGCUGUGACCUUGGUGGGUAUCUGGGCUUGGGAUGCUCCUGUUGGAUUCUCCCUGAGCUGCUUCCUAUUCCUCUGACACUGCAGCCCUUCUGGCCCCUGGGCACUGGAGUGGCACGGGGCUUCCUGGCAGCCUUUGACGCAGCCUGGAUGGUGAAGCGGUGGGCAGAGGGCGCUGAGUCCCUAGAGGUGUUGGCUGAGCGUGAAAGCCUGUACCAGCUUCUGUCACAGACAUCCCCAGAAAACAUGCAUCGCAAUGUGGCCCAGUAUGGGCUGGACCCAGCCACCCGCUACCCAAACCUGAACCUCCGGGCAGUGACCCCCAAUCAGGUCAGACCCCCGACACACACCAGCCUUCCCAAGCCAACCCCCUUCCCCCAGGUCAGGCCCUCCCUGCCCAGUCGCUGCCCUUUGGGGUCAAUCCUACCCCCAGCAGGCCCUUACCCCUGGACUGAGGGGCUGUGUGGCCAGCCUGCCUUGAGACCUGAGCGGGGCUGCCUUAGGUACGAGACCUGUAUGAUGUGCUAGCCAAGGAGCCUGUGCAGAGGAACGGCGACAAGACAGAUACAGGGAUGCCAGUCACCGGUGAGCAGGCCUUCCUCCCGAGGGGUGACCAAAAUAUGUACUACCCAGCGAGGCCCAGGUGGUCCCCGCAAAGCAGCUGCAGCCUCAGGACAGGAGCAGCGUGCCGGAGCACUCGUUGUUGGCUGGUGGGUUGGUUGGGGGCCUGCUGGAGGAACGGAGGGGCAGCACCGCACAGGCAGCAGUUGGCUGCCAGUCUGAAUGGAAGCGCUUCAGUGUUUUAACCACCGUUACAGCCAUAGCGGUGCUGGCAACCUCCCCUGCUCCCAGUUUAGUCUGCUGCCCUUUAUGUAGCCAGUUGCGAUUUCACUUUAUUCACUCCUCUACUUUAUUCCAAAGAGAUUUUUUUAAAAGAGAAUUGGGAUGGAGGGCUGCUGAUAGUGAGCUUUAGGCUGGUGCCCUAGUAGAGGUGGGUCCCUGACUCCUCCUCCCCUACAGAACCCCCACAUGCAGCAGCUGGGCUCCCUAUAUACCUGGGAUGGGCAGAGGGGGCCUUGGGCACAGCGCAGCCUUCUCUCCCAGGGUCGGCAGGCACCCAGGAGGAGCUGCUACGCUGGUGCCAGGAGCAGACAGCUGGGUACCCGGGAGUCCACGUCUCCGAUUUGUCUUCCUCCUGGGCUGACGGGCUAGCUCUGUGUGCCCUGGUGCACCGGCUGCAGCCUGACCUGCUGUGAGUCCCUGGCAGACCCACCUCUCUCUCAUGGUCUCAGUGUAGGAGUUAGCAUAUCCAGUUGAGUCCUAGAGACGGUGUGCUUCCCUGCAUCUGCCGACAGUCUUGUGAGACUCUAAUGCAUUCAGAUAGUGGAGAGCUUUGUGAAUGGCACAGGCCCCCAAAGCCAGGAGUAGUGUCACUGGGUUGGGCACUGGGUAGCAGAGACUACACACCUACCUUCAAGCCUUCUUGUACCCCAGCCGCUGCUUGCUGUCCCUCCCCUCCUGCUGCCCCUCCUCCCCUCAGUGGGGCUAGGUUCUUGUCUCUAGUUGGCUUUUCUCCCUGACAUUCCACAGGGAACCCUCAGAGCUGCAGGGGCUGGGAGCUCUGGAAGCAACUGCUUGGGCACUAAAGGUGGCAGAGCAUGAGCUGGGCAUCACACCGGUGGUGUCUGCACAGGCCAUGGUAGCAGGGAGUGACCCACUGGGCCUCAUUGCCUACCUCAGCCACUUCCACAGUGCCUUCAAGAGCGCGGCCCACAGCCCAGGUGACCUGAAGGAAAGGCGGGCAGGAUAGGUGGGAUGGGGAGGUGUGUGUGUGUGUGUGUGUGUGUGUGACAGAAAGAGGGAGAAGGCGGUCAGAAAGAGGGAGAAGGCGCCCUCUGAGGGCCAGCCUGGGCUGGGUUGGAGAGUGACUCUCUGUUCUGGGAGUACAGUAUUGGCACCCCCCUUCCACACUGAUGCCCUGGCUCUCCCCGCAGGCCCUGUCAGCCAGGCCUCACCAGGGACCUCCAGUGCUGUAUUAUUCCUUGGUAAACUUCAGAGGACCCUGCAGCGAUCCCGGGCCAAGGUGGAGAGUUUAGGCAGGGCUGGAGCUGAGCAGGGAGGAGUGGGCAGGGGGGUACCCAGUGGAGAUCCUGGGGUGAUGGUGAGGACAUUCAGAAAGUGGGGAGGACUGCGAGCUCAAAACAUCACACUCAGAGCUGUUAGGACUUAUUGCAGGAAAACGCAGAGGAUGCUGGCGGCAAGAAGCUGCGCUUGGAGGUAAAUGCAGGCAGGGGCGGAUCGGUCUCCUACCCCACAUUUUAUCCCCUUUCCCGGUACUGUCUUCCCUAUUUCUCAUCCCAUGUCUUGUUCCCCACCCCAGGUCCUAUAACCCCCCAUCCAGCCUCCCUGCCUAGUCUCACUCCCCUUCCCUUCAGCCCCUUAUGUUCAUCUGUACGCAUCCCCUCCCAGCUGGCCCUGCCCCUCUACCCUCCCUGCCUGAGCACUUACCUCCUUAGAUGGAGGCCGAGACCCCAAGUACUGAGGUGCCACCUGACCCAGAGCCUGGUGUACCCCUGACACCCCCAUCCCAACACCAGGAGGUGAGAGCCAGGCCUCGUGUGCAGGCAGAAGCCUGGGGAGGGCAGGGCAGGGGCAUUUCAUCGGAGGGAAAGAACUUUGGAGCUGGCCUUGGCUCCACCUGACCCUGUGUCCUGGGGGUCCACGCAGGCCAGUGCCGGGGACCUGUGUGCACUUUGUGGGGAACACCUCUAUGUCCUGGAACGCCUCUGUGUCGAUGGCCAUUUCUUCCACCGGAGCUGCUUCCGCUGCCAUACCUGUGAGGCUACACUGUGGCCAGGUGGCUAUGAGCGGCACCCAGGAGAUGGACAUUUCUACUGCCUCCAGCACCUGCCCCAGCCAGACCACAAAGAGGAAGGCAGUGAUGGAGGUCCUGAGAGUCCGGUAAAGACUGUGAAGGCGUGUAUGUGUACUGGGGCAUGGGAAGAGGAAGAGGGUCUCGUCAAACCAGCGCUUUGCUGGGGGUAACUGAAUGUCUUCCUCUACUAGCAUGUAAGCUCUGUGAAGGCAGGGAUGCCUGUCUGCUUACACUUCUUGUUCUCUCAAGUAUCUGAAACACAGCCGGACACUGUUUGUAAACAAUUUUAAGCGAAUGAAUGCCAAGGCCCACCUUUGCUCUGAAGGGGCGGCCUCACCCCGUGACCUCACCCCAGCCUGGGCAGGUCACUGACCAGACCACAUGGUGGCUUUUCCAGGAGCUCCCCACACCAAGUGAGAAUAGCAUGCCACCAGGCCUCUCAACUCCCACAGCCUCACAGGAGGGGGCCGGUCCUGUUCCAGAUCCCAGCCAGCCCACCCGUCGGCGGAUCCGCCUCUCCAGCCCGGAGCGCCAGCGGUUGUCCUCCCUUAACCUUACUCCUGACCCGGAAAUGGAGCCUCCACCCAAGCCCCCCCGCAGCUGCUCUGCCUUGGCCCGCCACGCCCUGGAGAGCAGCUUUGUGGGUUGGGGCCUGCCAGUCCAGAGCCCUCAAGCUCUUGUGGCCAUGGAGAAGGAGGAAGAAGAGAGUCCCUUCUCCAGUGAAGAGGAAGAAGAAGAUGUGCCUUUGGACUCAGAUGUGGAACAGGCCCUGCAGACCUUUGCCAAGACUUCAGGCACCAUGAAUAACUACCCAACAUGGCGUCGGACUCUGCUGCGCCGUGCGAAGGAGGAGGAGAUGAAGAGGUUCUGCAAGGCCCAGACUAUCCAACGGCGACUAAAUGAGAUCGAGGCUGCCCUGAGGGAGCUAGAAGCCGAGGGUGUGAAGCUGGAGCUGGCCUUGAGGCGCCAGAGCAGUUCCCCAGAACAGCAAAAGAAACUAUGGGUAGGACAGCUGCUACAGCUCGUUGACAAGAAAAACAGCCUGGUGGCUGAGGAGGCCGAGCUCAUGAUCACGGUGCAGGAGUUGAACCUGGAGGAGAAACAGUGGCAGCUGGACCAGGAGCUACGAGGCUACAUGAACCAGGAAGAAACCCUAAAGACAGCUGCUGAUCGGCAGGCUGAGGACCAGGUCCUGAGGAAGCUGGUGGAUUUGGUCAACCAGAGAGAUGCCCUCAUCCGCUUCCAGGAGGAGCGCAGGCUCAGUGAGCUGGCCUUGGGGACAGGGGCCCAGGGCUAGAUGAGGGUGGGCCGUCUGCUUUCGUUCCCACAAAGAAACCACCUCACCCCAGCACAGUGCCACCCCUGUUCAUCUGGGCUGCCUGGCAGAGAGCCUUGCUGUUUACAAUUAAAAUGUUUCUGCCAC
rnacentral:sRNA from 1 species